CAGCAGCCACGGUAAUACAGAGGGUGUAAGCGUUAAUAGGAAUUACUGGGCGUAAAGCGCGCGUAGGUGGUUUGUUAAGUUGGAUGUGUAAUCCCCGGGCUCAACCUGGGAACUGCAUUCAAAACUGACUGACUAGAGUAUGGUAGAGGGUGGUGGAAUUUCCUGUGUAGCGGUGAAAUGCGUAGAUAUAGGAAGGAACACCAGUGGCGAAGGCGACCACCUGGACUAAUACUGACACUGAGGUGCGAAAGCGUGGGGAGCAAACAGGAUUAGAUACCCGCGUAGUCCCUGUCUCUUAUAC
rnacentral:rRNA from 1 species